rnacentral:rRNA from 1 species
UACAGAGGGUGCGAGCGUUAAUCGGAAUUACUGGGCGUAAAGCGUGCGUAGACGGUUAUUUAAGUCGGGUGUGAAAGCCCCGGGCUCAACCUGGGAAUUGCAUUCGAGACUGAAUAGCUAGGGUACGGUAGAGGGAAGCGGAAUUUCCGGUGUAGCGGUGAAAUGCGUAGAUAUCGGAAGGAACAUCAGUGGCGAAAGCGGCCUCCUGGACCAGUACCGACGUUCAGGCCCGAAAGCGUGGGGAGCAAACAGG